GUGGGGAAUUUUGGACAAUGGGCGAAAGCCUGAUCCAGCCAUGCCGCGUGCAGGAUGAAGGCCUUCGGGUUGUAAACUGCUUUUGUACGGAACGAAAAGACUCUGGUUAAUACCUGGGGUCCAUGACGGUACCGUAAGAAUAAGCACCGGCUAACUACGUGCCAGCAGCCGCGGUAAUACGUAGGGUGCAAGCGUUAACCGGAAUUACUGGGCGUAAAGCGUGCGCAGGCGGUUAUAUAAGACAGAUGUGAAAUCCCCGGGCUCAACCUGGGAACUGCAUUUGUGACUGUAUAGCUAGAGUACGGCAGAGGGGGAUGGAAUUCCGCGUGUAGCAGUGAAAUGCGUAGAUAUGCGGAGGAACACCGAUGGCGAAGGCAAUCCCCUGGGCCUGUACUGACGCUCAUGCACGAAAGCGUGGGGAGCAAACAGGAUUAGAUACCCUAGUAGUCC
rnacentral:rRNA from 1 species